rnacentral:lncRNA from 1 species
AUGUGGGGGUCGGAGACGCCGGCCGGCUCCGGCUCGCCGGACUGCCCUGACCUGCUGCAGCACGUCCAAGCGCUGCGCUCGCCGGCCACCCCGCUUUACCUCAGCUUCUUCGAGGAGGAGUGUCGCACCAUCGCCGCCCGCCUGCGCCUCGCGGCGGCCGCAGAGUCCUUGCCGGGCCUGGGGGAGCUCAGCGCGCUGCAGCCCGAGCUCGCCGGACCCACCACUUCCACUCCGCUGCCCAACGCGAGCCACGGGCGGGUCCCGGACUCGAGCGUGGGUGAUUGCGAGGCCGCUGCUGCCCCUGCCCCUGGCUUGAGGCCGGCCCCAAGGGAGCCCGGGUGCCUCCCGCAGCCGGCGGCCGGCGGUAGCCCCGGCGCCCGCCCCGCUCGCCCGCCCGCCCAGUCCCGGCGGGUGCGGCGCGGUGCCGGACAGCCCUCCGGCGGCGGCCCCGGCACCCCUGCUCGCACCCCUGCUCGCACCCCGGGCCGCGGCCGCUCCAGGCUCUCUCUCCCCCGCACACGGGCCUCGCUGGGGCUGCAGCUCCCCGCGGCCGGCACAGGGCGCGGCGCCUGGGAAACGCGGCUCCUCCGGCCCCCAGGGGCCAGGCUGAAGCUGACGUCGCCUGCCAGGUCCAGGCUUCAACAUGCCGGCGGGGCUUCGCAGCAGGCACAGCCUUCCAGCCUUCCCAAACCCGCCCCCCGGGACAGAGGGAUGAAAAAUAAUUCUGCACCUGCCAGUUGCCUCACGCGAAGCAGAGAAGCACCUGCUGUCAAGGCUGGGAAUCGUAAACAGCCCUCCUCAAGGCUCUCUACAGCAAUUCCUACCGUGGCUUCCCGCUCCUCGCUGCGGCCUCCGGGAAAAGUGCUUUCAUCCAAGCGUUUUUGCCUCAAAGGAUCAACUACACAGGAGCUGGUGUGCAAUACAACGCAAGAGCUGAAGGAAAAUGGUGAGAGCAAAGAAAAGCUGGUUGCAGCAAGGAAUGUCUUGGGAGCAGGUAAAACUGACCAGACAUGGGUGUGUGUGGAGUCCUCUUUGUCCAGUGAGUUGGGCCCUGGCCUGACUUCAGGGUGUGAAGAUGCAGUCCCUGCUGAGCAGUCUGCAGGUGAUCAGCUGUCCCAGGAACUGGAGCGUGUGAAGAAAGAGCUGGAGCAAGUGAAGGGUGAGCUUGCUGACAAGACUGCCCAGUGUGAAGCCUAUCAGCAGACAAUCUUCUCCUUGAAGGCUCAGCUCAGAGCAGCAGGAAUCUGUCUGAAAGAUGCAGCAGUGGUGACCUGGGGAGAGACUGACAGUUGGGACAUGGGGACAGACAAUUGUCCAGCUGUGUGAGCCUCUGGGCCAGUGUUAUAUGUGGAGCUCUUGAAUGAAUUAAUUUUCUAACUACUUGUAUAUAAAAUAAAGGUGUCUUUUGCAGUGGUGCUUCCUGUCUUCUUGGGUAGAGGCAGUGCCUAGUGCUGCCCACUGAUCCCCAGAGCACUGGGCAAACAGGCAGGUCUGUGCUUCGCUACAGCUGGUUUUGCUCAGCCAGAGAUUUGAGAUCUGUUACAAGGAGGAGCUGGGUGCUGGUGGAUGGAGGUACAGUGUGGCUCUGGGGAAGCAUUUCUGGACAAAACUGAUGCUUCCAGGUGGGGAUGCUUGGAUGUGUGGUGGUGGUGGGCAGCUGUAUGGGCAGGUUUCUUCCUUAGACCACCUUCAUGCUGGAUGUGGGAAAACCCAAUGCUGGCUGAUGGCACAUUAGGCUUCUACAGCCUUUGGCUAUUUAUUACUGGUUUAUUAUCAGUGACUGAGGGCAGGUGGUGGGAAGCAGUGCUUGGGGGCUCAGUCCAGUCCCUCACUGUUCCUGCAUGCCAGCGCUGGGACCCCUGCUCUGCUGCCUUCUCUCUGUGGUCGGCUGAUGCAGGCACCUUGUUGCACUGCCUUGUGUCUGGGUGAGACACUGGAGAGUCCUGCUGUCUGGUGCUGGCAGUGCCCUGGGGUUGCGCUGGUAAGGCCGGCCUGUUCCUGCUCCUGUUAUUUCUGGCUGGUGUUCCUGGCUGCCUUGGAAUGCACAUUCACAGGUAGCCCACAUCCCUUCCUGGGCGGGGCACGGGUGGCUGCACAGGCAGGGAAGCUGUGUCGGCUGUCUCCCACCCCUGCUUGGCAUUUAGUUGCUGGGGCAGCUCCAGUCACAAUCUGCAGCAGAGAGCCCUAAUGUGCUGUAUGUUCCCUGUACAUGCAUGGUGAAGAUAAUUUCUUGGUGCAGGUACUAAGGGAAUUGACUGGAAAAGGUGGCCUUGUAGAUUUAUUGUUUGUAAACAUCGAGGCACUUGUGGGUGAAGUUGGAUUCAGUGGUCCUUAUGGAUCCCUUCCAAACUGAAAUAUUCUAAUGCUUGAGUUAUGGAAGGUGAUGGGGGCAUCCAAGGACUGGUGUGGAUGUAUUUCUGCAGGGCUUCUGGCCCCCUUUAUGGGCUGGAGCCAUCUCCUACCCUCCUUUGCUGCUGGCUACGUGUGCCUUGCCACUGUUUGCCUUCCUGCUGCUCCUGUUGGGACAUGCACUUGGCUUCUUCCAUGCCUCUGCCUGCUCCCAGCCCUUGGCCUGUGCUGCUGGAUCAGGACCCUGAAUGAUGGGAGUGGAGAGCAGUAAGACUGGGAG